AUGAUAUGGGUAGAUUCAAUCAUCUAAGUUUGAUAUGUUUUAAUUUUUUACAGAAUCGAAAGAUAUUACUACUGAUUCUGAAAUAUUGCCGGCCGGGAUUAGAUGUGCCAUGACCCAACCUAACCUAUAGUCUAAAAAGACUGCUGUCAUUUGUUUCUGUUCAUAAAUGUAUCAAAAACAUACUUAACCAUACUUUUUUCUGGAAAGUUUACAGCAAAUUUUACAUAAAAAAACGAAUUUCCGCAAACAAUGACAUAGAAAUUAGUAAGGUACUCAACAAGACGAAUCCAACAAUAUAUUAUAACACGUCAAAAUCGGUGAACCGUCCGUUUGCUAGGAAUAUACCCUUUGCGAAUAUGUGCAGGUAUGUCAUUAACUUAUUUAUUUUACCUAAUAUUCAUUGAAAUGAACCGUAUUAAUAUAAAUGCAAGCUGUCGUGGGUUUUCGCAUAGAGUUUCUGGAUAUCGUUCUAGAGUGGCCUGGCAGUGCACAUGGUAGUUGAAUUUUCCGUACAUCCCGAUUACAUAAACAUGCGAUAUGUGACAGGAGAAUUAGGCCAGUAUUCAGAGUCGCAACUUAUUUCUAAGCUGGUCUUAAGCAUAUGCUUAAGACAUCGGUUAGAUUCACAGUCGCCGAAUAAGCAACGUUUUAAGCAUCAGCUUAAGCAUUUGCUUAGGAAAGUAAAUGCUUAUCGCUGUAGAUUCACAGUCGAUGCUUAAGAAAGUCUUAAGCUCUUAUGAAUUCAUAGUCGAAUAAGUCCGCCUUAUUUGUAGAAAACGAGUUCUUAUUUGGCUUCAUUGAGGUUGUGUUUUUAAGUCGACGAUAUUGAGGAUUUAAGCACGCGUUUGAAGUACAAAAUGGAGUUGGAUUUUGCGGAUAUCGAGGACAUUGAUCAUAAUUUGUAUAUAUAUCCACGAAUAUCGAGACGGGAGUGACCCGUUUGAUUGUUUUGUCUGCCUUUUCUCAUGACACCCCUGCGGAAUCCACAGUCUAAAGAAGAAAUAAGGUACAAGGAAAUCCAGAUCAGGACCCGACAGAUAGUAGAAAGAACGUUCGGUGUUUGGAAGCGCCGUUUUCCAUGUCUUACAAGGGGUUUAACAACGAAGUUCUUAUUGUAGAAGAAGAUGAAAUUGAAAACCAAAAUGAAGAUGGAAAAGAAUUAUUAGGAAACGUGGAAAAUGUUAAUGGCAUUGAUGGAGUUACUACGCGCGAAGCACUCAUUGUCCUAUGUUUCAUUGAGUAAUUGUGUCAAACGAAAUGUAAUAAGGGGUUUUUUAUGCCACAAGGCUUUUUCCCCUUAAUGUGUCUAUCGAGCCAAUAAAUAAUCAUUAUUCUUUCGGCUCAAAUUGUUUUAAUUUAUUGAUUAAAAUACCCUCAUCCUCAGUCAUAUCACAACCUAUACCUUGAACCACAGGAUUUUUGCAAUAUCUUUUAUACAUAUAUACAUGUACUGCUGAUUUAUUAAUGAUCUUCAAUAAUCGAUAAGUUUGCUACAACUACU